CCCCGAGGAAGUCUAUGAUUGAUCAGUCUGCGUCUGUGUUCGCUGUAUUUUCCACAACUCUCUCUUGUUUCUCUCUUCAUCUCUCCCAUUUCUUGACGACCUUUGGAAAAGGUGGGUGAAAAGCAGGAGGAGGAGGAGGAAGAAGUGGCCGCUCGCGCAGGAGAGCAAAAUGAAAAAUGCAACACAGAAAUUCCAACGCACAGUUUUGCCUC
ensembl:ncRNA C16C2.6 ncRNA